GACGAACGCUGGCGGCGUGCUUAACACAUGCAAGUCGAACGGUGAAGCCCUUCGGGGUGGAUCAGUGGCGAACGGGUGAGUAACACGUGAGCAACCUGCCCCCGGCUCUGGGACAACCACUGGAAACGGUGGCUAAUACCGGAUACGACCCGCCUCGGCAUCGAGUGUGGGUGGAAAGUUUUUCGGCUGGGGAUGGGCUCGCGGCCUAUCAGCUUGUUGGUGAGGUGAAGGCUCACCAAGGCGACGACGGGUAGCCGGCCUGAGAGGGCGACCGGCCACACUGGGACUGAGACACGGCCCAGACUCCUACGGGAGGCAGCAGUGGGGAAUAUUGCACAAUGGGCGAAAGCCUGAUGCAGCGACGCCGCGUGAGGGAUGACGGCCUUCGGGUUGUAAACCUCUUUCAGCUCCGAAGAAGCGAAAGUGACGGUAGGAGCAGAAGAAGCACCGGCUAACUACGUG
rnacentral:rRNA from 1 species